rnacentral:rRNA from 1 species
UGCAGCAACGCCGCGUGAGGGACGACGGCCUUCGGGUUGUAAACCUCUUUUAGCAAGGAAGAAGCGAAAGUGACGGUACUUGCAGAAAAAGCGCCGGCUAACUACGUGCCAGCAGCCGCGGUAAUACGUAGGGCGCAAGCGUUAUCCGGAAUUAUUGGGCGUAAAGAGCUCGUAGGCGGUUUGUCGCGUCUGCUGUGAAAACCCGAGGCUCAACCUCGGGCCUGCAGUGGGUACGGGCAGACUAGAGUGCGGUAGGGGAGAUUGGAAUUCCUGGUGUAGCGGUGGAAUGCGCAGAUAUCAGGAGGAACACCGAUGGCGAAGGCAGAUCUCUGGGCCGUAACUGACGCUGAGGAGCGAAAGGGUGGGGAGCAAACAGGCUUAGAUACCCUGGUAGUCCACCCCGUAAACGUUGGGAACUAGUUGUGGGGUCCAUUCCACGGAUUCCGUGACGCAGCUAACGCAUUAAGUUCCCCGCCUGGGGAGUACGGCCGCAAGGCUAAAACUCAAAGGAAUUGACGGGGACCCGCACAAGCGGCGGAGCAUGCGGAUUAAUUCGAUGCAACGCGAAGAACCUUACCAAGGCUUGACAUAUACGAGAACGCUGCAGAAAUGUAGAACUCUUUGGACACUC